AGAGCAAGUGGUGGAUGCCUUGGCUAGUAGAGGCGAUGAAAGACGUGCCAGGCUGCGAUAAGUCUCGGGGAGCCGUCAAGGGGCUUUGAUCCGGGAAUUUCUGAAUGGGGCAACCCAACUAAUAGAGAUAUUAGUUACCGUAUAACGGAGCGAACGAGGGGAAUUGAAACAUCUUAGUACCCUCAGGAAAAGAAAUCAAAAGAGAUUACGCUAGUAGCGGCGAGCGAACGCGUAAGAGGGCAAACCACUAGUUUACUAGUGGGGUUGUAGGACUGCAAUAUAGACUAAACUUAGCUAAUAGAACAACCUGGAAAGGUUAGGCACAGAGGGUGAUACCCCCGUAUAUGAAAGCUUUGUUUUACUUAGCAGUAUCCUGAGUAGGGCGGAACACGUGAUAUUCUGUCUGAAGCUGGGUAGACCACUAUCCAACCCUAAAUACUACUACUAGACCGAUAGUGCACAAGUACCGUGAGGGAAAGGUGAAAAGAACUGAGGUGAUCAGAGUGAAAUAGAACCUGAAACCAUUUGCUUACAAUCAUUCAGAGCCCUAUGAUUUAUCAGGGUGAUGGACUGCCUUUUGCAUAAUGAGCCUGCGAGUUGUGAUGUCUGGCGAGGUUAAGGAAACCCGGAGCCGUAGCGAAAGCGAGUCUUAAUAGGGCGUUUAGUCAGAUGCUGCAGACCCGAAACGAUGUGAUCUAUCCAUGAGCAGGUUGAAACCGGUGUAAGAGCCGGUGGAGGACCGAACCCGCUAGCGUUGAAAAGCUAUGGGAUGACUUGUGGAUAGGGGUGAAAGGCCAAUCAAACAUCGUGAUAGCUGGUUCUCUCCGAAAUAUAUUUAGGUAUAGCGUCAUGUAGUAACACUAGGGGGUAGAGCACUGAAUGGGCUAGGGCAUACACCAAUGUACCAAACCCUAUCAAACUCCGAAUACCUAGUGUGUAAUCAUGGCAGUCAGGCGGCGAGUGAUAAAAUCCGUCGUCGAGAGGGGAACAACCCAGACUAACAGCUAAGGUCCCUAAAUCUCAUUUAAGUGGAAAACGAUGUGGAGUUACUUAAACAACCAGGAGGUUGGCUUAGAAGCAGCCAUCCUUUAAAGAAAGCGUAAUAGCUCACUGGUCUAGUGAUUCUGCGCGGAAAAUAUAACGGGGCUAAAAUGAGUACCGAAGCUUUAGACUUAGUUUUACUAAGUGGUAGGAGAGCGUUGUAUUUGCGUUGAAGGUAUACCGGUAAGGAGUGCUGGAGCGAAUACAAGUGAGCAUGCAGGCAUGAGUAGCGAUAAUUGGGGUGAGAAUCCCCAACGCCGUAAACCCAAGGUUUCCUACGCGAUGCUCGUCAUCGUAGGGUUAGCCGGGUCCUAAGCAAAGUCCGAAAGGGGUAUGCGAUGGAAAAUUGGUUAAUAUUCCAAUGCCAACUAUAAUGUGCGAUGGAAGGACGCUUAGAGUUAGAGGAGCCAGCGGAUGGUAGUGCUGGUCGAAAGGUGUAGGUUAAGAUCCAGGCAAAUCCGGAUCUUUUUAAGCCGAGACCCCACAGGCACACAAAGUUCUUCGGAACAGCGUGUGAAUCCUUGAUACUGUCGAGCCAAGAAAAGUUUCUAAGUUUAGUUAUAGUUGCCCGUACCGUAAACCGACACAGGUGGGUGGGAUGAGUAUUCUAAGGCGCGUGGAAGAACUCUCUUCAAGGAACUCUGCAAAAUAGCACCGUAUCUUCGGUAUAAGGUGUGCCUAACUUUGUGAAGGAUUUACUCCGUAAGCAUUGAAGGUUACAACAAAGAGUCCCUCCCGACUGUUUACCAAAAACACAGCACUCUGCUAACUCGUAAGAGGAUGUAUAGGGUGUGACGCCUGCCCGGUGCUCGAAGGUUAAUUGAUGACGUUAGCUCUGCGAAGCGUUUGAUCGAAGCCCGAGUAAACGGCGGCCGUAACUAUAACGGUCCUAAGGUAGCGAAAUUCCUUGUCGAUUAAAUAUCGACCUGCAUGAAUGGCGUAACGAGAUGGGAGCUGUCUCGAAGAGGGAUCCAGUGAAAUUGUAGUGGAGGUGAAAAUUCCUCCUACCCGCGGCAAGACGGAGAGACCCCGUGGACCUUUACUACAGCUUGACACUGCUAUUGGGAUAAAAAUGUGCAGGAUAGGCGGGAGGCUUUGAUCCAUAGACGCCAGUUUAUGGUGAGCCAUUGUUGAGAUACCGCUCUUUUUUAUUCUGAUAGCUAACUAGCUUGAGUUAUCCUCAAGUAGGACAAUGUCUGGUGGGUAGUUUGACUGGGGCGGUCGCCUCCCAAAAUGUAACGGAGGCUUACAAAGGUUGGCUCAGAACGGUUGGAAAUCGUUCGUAGAGUAUAAAGGCAUAAGCCAGCUUAACUGCGAGACAUACACGUCAAGCAGAGACGAAAGUCGGUCUUAGUGAUCCGGUGGUUCUGUAUGGAAGGGCCAUCGCUCAAAGGAUAAAAGGUACUCCGGGGAUAACAGGCUGAUCCCUCCCAAGAGCUCAUAUCGACGGAGUGGUUUGGCACCUCGAUGUCGGCUCGUCACAUCCUGGGGCUGGAGAAGGUCCCAAGGGUUGGGCUGUUCGCCCAUUAAAGUGGCACGCGAGCUGGGUUCAGAACGUCGUGAGACAGUUCGGUCUCUAUCUGUUGUGGGCGUUUGAGAUUUGAGGGGGCCUGACACUAGUACGAGAGGACCGUGUUGGACGAACCGCUGGUUUAUCGGUUAUGCCGCCAGGCGUAUUGCCGAGUAGCUACGUUCGGUUGAGAUAAGUGCUGAAAGCAUCUAAGUACGAAGCUUGCCUCAAGAUUAGAUCUCAUUAUAAGGGUGGUUAUAGACGAUGACCUUGAUAGGCUACAGGUGUAAAGGCGGUGACGUCAUAGCCGAGUAGUACUAAUUGCCCGAAAGUUUUUGCCUG
rnacentral:rRNA from 1 species